rnacentral:rRNA from 1 species
GGAGGUGGUAGAGUAGUGCGGAGAGGAGUGGGGGACGUCGAUGACGGUGGGCAGCGGCGGAGCAGCGCGGGACGUAGAGAGGCGUGGCAGGUAGAGUGCCGCGAGAAGUAGAGCGGCGAGGGGAUUACGGGACGUAGGCGGAGCCACGAGGGACAGGUGGACUUCGAGUGGAGACGUAGGGGAGGACUUCAAAACGAAAAGGGUACGAACUAAAGCGACAUGAAUUUAUGUCUUUGGUUUUCGAAAGUCUUGUCGAUCGUCAGGUAUUCAAACUCAUGGUACGGGAACUCCCAUUUAAACUACUAGAGUUCGUCUUUGUCUUCCGAGUGGUGCUCUGGGUUCUAGAUCGAUUGUUCAGAACCCUCGUAGAACACUCUCUAAACUUCCGAUAAAGACGAACGUUUUCACCUAAAGUUUUAGGAAGGACGUCACGUCCAGGAUCGUUACACAGAUGUCUACCGUGUACGUAGGGUUUUCUGUUCCUGAAGGAAUCGUCUGAACAACUCUGUCCACGGUGUCUUUCAAGUCCAACGGUAAACCUUUUGGUACAUGUGAGCAGUUCAUGACUACACGACGUCUUAUAUAACAAGAGUAGUUUACUAAGUACCGUACGUUUAUUCUUCAGAGACAAUCUAGAGAAACGACGUAAUGGACUUUUACUCGCAUCAUCCCUUAACGCUUGAUGACCAUGACUCGACAGUGAUGUCGAAUUACUACGGUAUGUUCUUGAAUCACUAGAGGUGAACUUCGUGUCCGCCAAUUGUCUCUUCGUGGUACUUCUCUCUACAAAUUUGCGAGCUUCGUUUCGACUUGUCUUUGAGGAAUUUCUCCUCGACCGUUCACGACAACGACUCAACCUUCUUUCGUUGGUGUUUAACCGUCAGGAGUUUCGUGUCCCUCUGGGAUGUGUACCUUGAGGUUAGAAUAAAGGUUGAAAUCCUUUAUUUUCGAACGGACUCCUAUUACAGUCUCUGUUUGUUUUCCUUAACGUCCUAGAUCUCCGUACAGUGUUCCUCAAAUGCCUAGACUAAAGUGUUGCAAACCACCUUUAUUCCUCUGAAGUGCUUCUAUCUUAACUUUAAAACUUGUUCAACAGAUGGAAGGUCUUGUGAAACUACCUAAAAUUCUCGUAAAGAAGAAGUUUUCGAAAGGUUCAAGACUUCCUAGUUGAGGUUUUCAGUGUUCGUCUCAACCUGGUGACGGCUUACGAUAAUCUCUUUAAUGUCCAAUUAUUCCUAUUUAACUAUACCGUUCUUUCCCUUCAAUUACAUUUUCAACUAGACAGACCUUAAGGAGUAUCCCAUAGAGACUUAACACUCAGUUCGUAACGUCAAAAUCUUGUCUUAGCCGUCUUUCAUCAACUACUUUUCUUAUACGAACGCGACUUUGAACUUCUUAGAAGCUCUCUUGGACCAGCCUUGGUUUAGUAUAGUCUUAAAUUUCGCGACCACAGUAGUGACGGUCCUCUUUACCCACGAUACGUUUGACUUAAUAGGUUCAUGUUCCUACUACGAAGUCUUAACGUAAGAAACGCUCGGCUUCAAGUGAGACAAAGACUAUAAGACCGAUCUUUCCUCGUGUGAUAGCUGCUUAGUAAUACAUCUAGACGAGUGCGACCUAGACUCUGUUCCCCAGAUGCUAGGUCCCAAACACUUGAUUCCGUUUGCUUAACGCUCAACUUCGAGAAACACCUUUACAUAUUUGCGCUAAGAUGACUAAGUUCUCUAAACGACCUCAGGUUUCUACCUCUUAUAACACUUACCCGAGUACAGGUAUCGGAGUUUAGAAGAGAACUACUCUCAUCCGAUCUUGUCGCACAAUUCCAUCGGUAACUUCGACUUCGUUACAGAGUCGUCUCUGAUCGUUCACCACUUCGACUCUAACGACUUAAUUCCCCCUUCUACCUCUCACGGUCUUCCCUAUAACCAUCAAAUAGACUUAAUAACUUUAGUUUUGUACUUCUUCCACUUCGCAUGGACAGUCUCUAACUCUCAUAACCCGUUCGUAUACUUCUAUAUGUUUGUGUUUUAGUUGUUAACGAUGUCGUUUAAUAACUCUCUCUACUGGUGUUAUGUUUCUAGAAAUACCUUCCGCAAUUCCGCUUUGUCCGUGUCCUAUGAAACGUAAAUCUUCAUACGUUGGACUUGUCCUUAAAUGCCGUCCGUUUCUCGAACUACCUAGAGAUGUUUCUAUUUCAACGGGUCAAACUGCUGUUCAAUUUUCAAACCAGUCUCGUCUAUCCCUCUGAAAGUCUCCUACCUGCCGCUGUAAGACAUAGAAGUCCGUUACGAGUUGCUUUCGACCACCUACAUGUCCCUCUCCAAGUUGUUAACUCCUUCAGUUACCUACUUCAUGUUCGGUUCCAGCCCUCCUUAGCUGAUCUUCAACGACCCAACGAACAUCUUGAUCUCUUCCUAUCCAAAUCAUUCUCCUCUUAACUCCUACUGAACCUUAGCUACAGUUCCUUUCGAUCAAGAGAAGCUCACUUCUGUCUUCGGAGCAGCAACAACCUUUUCCAAGUAGUCCUCCAGUUACUCAUGUCCCCUUAUAACUUCACACCACAGACGGCGCUGGCUGUCUUUCUCCAGCACUAGUGGUUCACGAUGGUAGAAAAGACGUUACUGACAUAUGUCUUCAAUGAAGCUUUGGCGGUCGCCUCUACAGGAAGGACACCUAAUUCGAAACCCCGGUUACUACACUUCGGCUAAAUAUAUACUACGACAUCACCCCAGUAGAUCCUGUUUACUGACUUCACGACGAACGAACCAAGUCAGCUUUUACAUCGAAUAGAACGGUUUAAAGAAGUUUCUCCUGGGUAUCGUAUGAAAUCCAACGUCCGUGUUACGGGCACCGAAACGCGAUACGCUCACACCGAACGGCGAGGCAACAUUUCAAACAUUAAAAGAACAACUUUAUCGAACAUCAGACAAACGUAUAUGUAAAAUAAUAAGAUCAUAAACUGUACAGUUCCUUCUCCUCAAUCACUAACGUUUUCUUAUGGUAUCUAACAUAGUAACAUACGAACCUUUUAGAUUCCACGUAUCUACACGUGGAAAGAGAGGG